rnacentral:rRNA from 1 species
GUACGGAGGGUGCAAGCGUUAAUCGGAAUUACUGGGCGUAAAGCGUGCGCAGGCGGUUUGUUAAGUCAGAUGUGUAAGCCCCGGGCUCAACCUGGGAACUGCAUUUGAAACUGGCAAACUAGAGUGUGGUAGAGGGAAGUGGAAUUCCUCAUGUAGCGGUGAAAUGCGUAGAUAUGAGGAGGAACACCAGUGGCGAAGGCGACUUCUUGGACCAACACUGACGCUCAUGUACGAAAGCGUGGGUAGCAAACAGGAUUAGAAACCCCGGUAGUCC